CUCUCUCUCUCUCUCUCUCUCUCUCUCUCUUUUGUUUCUCAACCUCUCGGUCGUCUCUCACCUUCUCUGCAAAUCCUUCGUCUCUUUCUUCUUCGGCGGCGUCGUGGCGGUGGAUGAGGGGGUUGGCUGGGUGGAUGUCCCAAUCGCAAGCGGCAUAGAUAGAGACGAUGCAAACGGCCGCCGAUGAUCCGAUCACUUCUCUCUUCCCCUGUCUUCUGUUCUUGGUUCACGGCGGUUGUCCACAGGAGAGCGCGCGUCGCUACGAUCUGUGGCGCUGUUCUGCGGCGGCGAUGGGCGUGGUGGUGGUGGCAUUCACCACCAUGAUGCGGGAGAGAUGGGGGCGGUCGUUUACGGACAGGGCCGAGAUCCUGAAGUUGACGACGCGUGAGCAGGGUUAGGGGCGAGGGUGAACCUGGGGUCUAUCUGAUGAAUGGCCUUUUCUGCGCGGCGACGAUGGGCGUGGUGGCGGUGGCAUUCACCACCACGAUGCGGGAGAGGUGGGGGCGGUCGUUUACGGACAGCGCCAAGAUCCUGAAGUUGACGACGCGUGAGCAGGGUUGGGGGCGAGGGUGAACCUAGGGUAUAUCUGAUGAAUGGCCAGUGCUACUGGCAUAGCAUGCAAGCGGUGCAAAGCGCGGAUAAUACGCCCAGGUGAGGGGCGUGGUAGAUGAGGAUCGAGGCCAACCGAAAAAAUACAUAAUUCUCGAUCCGCCAUGAAAUUCGAGAAUGAGGAAUUAUGGCGAGAGUAGGACAGGAGGAAACACACUUUUCCUUUCUGUUUUUUCUAUUUUAUUGUUCAGUUAAUUUGUAAACAAUUUUUCUGUAGUUGUUAGAGAUGAGUGAAGAGAUUUUUUCAUGUGAUUUUUAUUUGACUGUUCAUUUAGAAAUUGUAUUUUGAUCAUUGAAGAAAAUGUGUUAUGUUCAUUUAUAAAUUGUGUUC